rnacentral:rRNA from 1 species
AUUGAACGCUGGCGGCAGGCUUAACACAUGCAAGUCGAGCGAGAGGCGGACGGGAGAGUAAUGUAUGGGAAACUGCCUGAUGGAGGGGGAUAACUACUGGAAAGGGUAGCUAAUACCGCAUACCAUCAGAUGUGCCCGGAUGGGCUUAGCUAGUAGGUGGGGUAAUGGCGCACCUAGGCGACGAGCACUAGCUGGUCUUAGAGGAUGACCAGCCACACUGUAACUGAGACACGGUCCAGACUCCUACGGGAGUCAGCGGUGGGGAAUAUUGCACAAUGGGCGCAAGCCUGAUGCAGCCAUGCCGCGUGUGUGAAGAAGGCCUUCGGGUUGUAAAGCACUUUCAGCGAGGAGGCGUUACUCGCAGAAGAAGCACCGGCUAACUCCGUGCCAGCAGCCGCGGUAAUAC